rnacentral:lncRNA from 1 species
GCCCAUGAGCACCUCUAGAUAAAACUGUUCACUUCAUUUAUAAUCAGGAGAUGAUCAAAUGGAAUAAUUAAAAAAACUUAAUACACAUUUAUUGAUUGAAUGUAAUACAUUUAUUAAUUGAAUGUAAAGGAGCUUAUAAAUAGCACAUUGUAAUUGAAAAUUAAACAAUGAUAUUUUUCAUCCACUUAUUAUUGUUGUUUUAUUAAUUUUUCUAUAACAAAGAUCAUAAAAAAAUUAUACAUAAAAAUAUAUUAAAAAUUAAAAAAUUAAACUAAAUUAAGAAAUAAACAAAAAUUUCUUCAUUUUUCCCUCUUCUCUCCGGAAAACCCUCAACUUUCUUAAUCUUCUCUUCAGCAAAUUGUUGUUGUAGCCGCCUUUAUCUUCACUAGAAAACCCCUCUUCACCUCUUUCGAUUCCUCCAAGCUCAAAGGUGAGAAACCUCUGGGUUGCUACUGCCGCCACUUACACCGCUGCUGUCCGAUGAGCUUUUCCGUUACAACAGCCACUAGAGUCUUUCUCUUCUUCUCUUUAAAACUAAGAGCAAUUCCAUGGCUACCUGGGAAGCAUUCAACACAUCCUGUUCAAACGAACAAGUAAAGAAUGGAAUGGCAGUCGAUUUGGAUAAAAAGCAACAUAUGAAUAGUCUCAACAUUAACACAAAGUAACCACUGUAAAGAUCAAGAAAAUCCCAAAAUGUAAGAUAAUAAAAAAAACUUGAAAAUAUUGCAUCUAUUAGCUAAAAUUGUAUCAAAGAGCUUUAUUUACAGUCUAAUAAAACCCACUAAAUACUAGAGAAGAAGAAAAAUCCUAUAAAUCAAAUAAACCUAAAUUGCAUUAUUUUAUCAUAAAAAUCAAAACCCAAAACCUAAAAUCAAAUAACGCAAAUUGCAUCAUUUUUAAAAAAAAAUCAUCAAAGAGAGAAGAAAAUAAAAAGCAAAACUCCAAAAACAACAAAGCCGAAUAAAUAUAAUGUUGAACACCGAAAACAAAAUAGAAAACCCUAGAAGCAUGAAAGGAUCAACUAUUCGAAAAAGGCAACGAAAACAACUUGAAAAGAUAUGAGAUAGAAACGAGAAAGGAAAAAACAAAGAAAAGAAAAGAGAGGCCUUAUGUAUGUGUCAUGGGUUGCGCGGAAGAAUGAAUAGCACAUUUGGUUGAUCCAUUUUAUUCGUGAGGGUCAUAUGGUCCAAUAGGAUUGACCCGUUACUUAGAGAGACUGAAAAUUCAUCUACAUUACAU